rnacentral:rRNA from 1 species
GGAAGUAAAAGUCGUAACAAGGUUUCCGUAGGUGAACCUGCGGAAGGAUCAUUACUGAUUUAGCGAACCGAGCGUUAGCGAGGUUUUGCGAUCACUUAUAUUUAAAACCCACUCUUUGAACGUAUAAAAUUUUAUGUAUUAAUGAUAAAAAUAAAAGAUCACUUUCAACAACGGAUCUCUUGGCUCUCGCAUCGAUGAAGAACGUAGCGAAGUGCGAUAAGUAAUGUGAAUUGCAGUAUUCCGUGAAUCAUCGAACCUUUGAACGCAUAUUGCACUUUCUGGUAUUCCGGAAAGUAUGCCUGUUUGAGGGUCAGUUAAAUAAAAAUCGGUGUUGUUGCUGCCUUUCGUGGUGACGCGUCGGAAUUGAGUUGUCUUACCUUCGGUUAAGUGACUUAAAAUUUUGUAUGAUUUUCGAACGUAUUUAAAUUUAUUUGUACGUUUGAGAUGUCGAAUGUUUAUUAGGUUCGGUCAUUCUAAUGACUCGCGCCUAUAGUUUUUCAUUAAAUGACCUCAAAUCAGGUAAGAAUACCCGCUGAACUUAAGCGAUAUCAAUAAGCGGAGGA